CCAUGAUUGUGCAUGUGUAUAUAGUUGUGUGUGCAUGUUCAUGUGUGUAUUUGCAUAUACAUAAAAUACACACACACACACGUAUAAACGCAAGCACACACACAUAGAGACA
rnacentral:miRNA from 1 species